GAAAGUAAAAGUCGUAACAAGGUUUCCGUAGGUGAACCUGCGGAAGGAUCAUUACCGAAUUGUCAAACGGGUUGUUGCUGGUCUUCAAACGGGGACAUGUGCACGCUCUGUUUACACAUCCACUCACACCUGUGCACCCUCCGUAGUUCUAUGGUCUGGGGGACCCUGUCUUCCUGGCGUGGUUCUACGUCUUUACACACACUCUGUAAUAAAGUCUUAUGGAAUGUAUGCCGCGUCUAACGCAAUACAAUACAACUCUCAGCAACGGAUCUCUUGGCUCGU
rnacentral:misc_RNA from 1 species